rnacentral:rRNA from 1 species
GACGAAGGGGGCUAGCGUUGUUCGGAAUUACUGGGCGUAAAGCGUGUGUAGGUGGUUGUCCAAGUUGGAUGUGAAAGCCUUGAGCUCAACUCAAGAAAUGCAUUCAGGACUGGGCGACUAGAGGACCGGAGAGGAUAGUGGAAUUCCCAGUGUAGUGGUGAAAUACGUAGAGAUUGGGAAGAACACCAGUGGCGAAGGCGGCUAUCUGGACGGUUUCUGACACUAAGACACGAAAGCGUGGGGAGCAAACAGG